rnacentral:tRNA from 1 species
GGGGUUAUAGCUCAUUGGUAGAGCACUUGUCUAGCAUGUAUGAGGCACUGAGUUUGAUUCUCAGCACCA